GUCUGCACUUGUCGGGGAAGGGUGAGAAGCUUCGACUAAGGUUCGAUUCGAGCGAAAGCGAGAAAGCGUUGCCGCAGGCAACGGCCCGAAGGGUGAGGAGCGAAGCGACGAAUAAUCCUUCCCCCACCACCA
rnacentral:sRNA from 1 species